GGGUAAGUGAAAAGAUGGUGGACCCCAGAACAUGUGCUUGGUUCAUGCCAUAUGUCUGUGGAUCACUCGUCUUGAGGAGACC
rnacentral:pre_miRNA from 1 species